GCCGCUACCGGGUGCGCGCCUCCGCCGCCGCUCGCGUCGGGAACUGGGAGCGCGCGUCGCUGGCGGACUGUGCAUCGCGGCAGGCCGGCGCGCUCCCGUGCGUGGCGGUGUCUCCUCGGCCGGCGGGCGGGCGGGAGGGAGGGAAGGAGCGAGCGGUUGGUUUGUCGGGCCGGGCCCCAGCCGUGUCGGCGAGAGCCUCGCAGCGAGUCGCCCCGCAGCCGGGACGGUAAGGGGGAGCCAGGCCGCUUGCAGCGUGGUCCCGCCCAGCGCCCAGAGAGCAUUCCAGUGCACUUCUGAGGACUCACUCACACCCAGGAAAUAACUGGAAUGAUGGACCUUCCCGUUCUGGAAAUUUACAGGUCUGCUAUCCUCCAAGUGUUACCACUACCAAAGAUAAACUACACUGUAAACACUGUGAAAAUAUAAAGCACUGCACAUAAGUGUGAGAGAAUAUGUCUGUACCAAACGGUCAACUCCAUUUUGUUUUGUGACAAUAUAUCCAUAAAUUGCAAUCUACAUUUUUUAAAAAUUCACUAGUCUUUGUCUUGCUAAUACAAUCAGUGCUGAGCCAGGUGUUAAACUCCAACAUACCAUGUUAAGAAUGGUCUAAUUCUGUAAAUUUAGUCAUCGAUUGGCUUCUCUCUAAAAUUCUUAGCUUAAAAAAAUAGUCACAGUCCCAACUCUGCCGCCCAGGACUUCUUAACAUGAUUGUGCCUGUUUCAAGGAGUUAUGAAGAGAGCAUCUCCCCACCUCCACUACUGAUUUCCAUUCCUGAUAGCAUUAAGGCUCUCUGCUGGUUUAAUAAAGCAGUGGGUACAGCUCAACACCUUCACUGGACUCUCACAAAACCUUCCAUCAUGUUCUUUAAAUCAUUUAAUAUUAUUAACACAAUAUAAAAUGCUGCUAAAAAGUAAAGCUCAAAGUCAUCCUUUCAGCAUGGCCUGGCAUUCUCUUGUUUAUCUUACUGAAUACUGAACUUUGCAGAAAGUUGAGGACUUGUUACAAACAUGAUAGUGAUUAGCUUUCUGAGUAUGAUUAAAAUACUAGGUUGUUAUAUGAAAAUGCCCAUUAAUACUAUAUUCCAAUAAAGAAUCUAUAGUUAUUUCCAGGACAUUUAUAAAAAAACCCACCCCUUUACCACGUUAACCAAAAACGUAAAGAUUGUAAAUGAUUUGUACUCUUGAACAGCAUCCAAAAUAUUUGGCAGUGGUGAUAAAACAAACAAUUGCUUACACAGAAUUAAUGUUGCUCCUCGGUUGAUUACCAAGCUAGCCCACUACUGCAAUAAGGAUGUGCUAAACAAAAGUGCUGGUAAAAGACUGCUUUUUAGUUCCUGGCUUGAGUCGCAUGACAUUGGUGAGGCUUAUAACAGGUCAUAUGGUCAGUAUCCAAUAUCUGUUACAACUUUAAUUUUUUUUUCCUGUUCCUGACUUGUAUAUUUAAAUUUAAUCUAUUUAUUUGAGAUACAUAUAUGGGAUAUCUCAGUGCCUCACCAUCUUUAAUAUAUUGCUUCUAACAGCACCCUCUUAUGGGUUGUAAGGAAAUACAUUUUACAGAUGGCGAACUGAGGCACAAAAAGACAUUGACUUGCCCACAGCUACACAAGAAGUCUGGGACAGGGAACUGAACCCAUGUUUUUCAAGUCUCGGGCUAGCAUCCUAACUAUUGGAAAAUCCUGCCUCUAAAUUUAUGACCAUAGUUCACAACCUGCCAGGCUCAAAUAUGAUAUGCAAUGUGGAGAAAGACCCUAACUGAAGAACACCAAAAAUUAUUCAUAAAGAAGCUUAAAAUGCUAUGAAAUUCAUCCCUUUAAUGUAAAUAAUUCUUACUGUAACCUUUGUUUUAUGUUUCUGCAUUUCUGAUGUAAAUAACUUUCAACAAUAAAUAGAAUGGACAUUAAACUUGUGUAGAAAUUUGUAGGGAAAUAUGGGACUGAAAUGAAGGAGAUUUGAGAAUAAUGUUUUUAAAAGUUUAAUGUGGCAGAUAUUGAGCUGUCAUAUAAUAAUUAAGAAUGUAGCUAGGUAAGAAUUUUAUAAACCCUAUAUGCGACCUGGUCAGUGACUAGACCAUUCUGUCGCACACCUUAAAGACAAGCGGGCGGGGGGAAGCUAUUGAUUUUGAAGAUCCUAUUUUAUGUCUCCAUCAAAGCUGUAAACUCUAUUUUCCCAGGCCAGUAACUUGGAAAUCAAAGAACAAUAAACAGUUAAAAAAGUAUUGCUCAGGAGACCCUUCCCAAGAUCCUUCCCUACCCUGCCAGUUUGUAGUCUGUGUUGUAAAAGCAGCCGGCCUUAAUGAGGCCAGUCUAUUGUAGACACUGGUCCUGCCAGAAAAGGUGAAACACACCUUGAAGAUGACUUUCAAUGAGACAGCCAUCAAGACCGAUCAACUCUGUCUCUCAACUAUUGAUCCAUACACAAGACCAAUGAACUGUCUACAAAGAAGUCUGGCUGGGGGGAGGGGCUGGAGUACCUUAGCUUUGGCCAAAAGGAUCUAUGGUUUUAUUUAAAGGGGAAUGUUCCCUGUGAAAGGGGAUCAUCCACCACCAUGUGCCAGAAGAUUGGCCAGGAGAGUGUGCUUUAUAUACCCACGUCUAGGAACAGUGAGUAUAUGAGAUUCAGCAGUUGGGUCUACUGGACUGGGCCAGGUUGUGACACUAAAGCUAUGUUUACAAACUUUUGCUGGUAUUACCUGUUGGUCAUGAGUGAACAGAGGUGUGAUCCAUGACCAACAGCUCUGCCGGCAGAAGUCUGUGAUUUAGAUGCAGCCAUACUGGCAAAACUGCACUUUUACUGGGAUAGCUUGUUUCAUUCAUGAGGGGUGGUUUUACUAUUUUGGUACUAAGUGCAGCUAUGCUAGUAUACCCAUACCACUAAAGCACACCUAGUGUAGGCAUAGCCUAAGUAUUCUAGCCUUCCUCAGAUGCCUCCCUAUAAACAGCUUCCAAGGCUACCAAAAUUCUCAGGUAUCUCACAGCUCAAAUACAGGCCUACCUUCCUCCAGCCCUAUCUGAACAACAUGAUUUUGAUCAGUUUGAGAUAAGCAUAAGGAAGGGUGUGUUGUACUCCUGUUUAUUUUAUUGAUCAAGGCUCCUCCUACUAAAUGGACAUCCAAACACAAUUAACAAUGCAAUAUUCAGGCAGUAAUCCAUCCCAUCACUGAAGUAUAAUAAAAACUGAAUGCAAAGGUUUCUUAAUGUUUGGCUUUCAUAAGUUCC